rnacentral:misc_RNA from 1 species
CAUAUACUGUCAUUAGCAUUUAAAAAGGAAUUUACACAAAAAAAGAUAUUUGAUCUAGUCCUAGUCCUAAUCAGUUUUAUGAUUGCAGAUCUGAAAUAAGAAUGAAUUCAUUUUUUUUGUACAAAAAAGAAGGACAAUGGGUUGGCAAAGACGAUUUACAAACUGCAACAGGAUCCAGCCUCAGGAUAAGGGAGCAGAUGAUGGUUGCCCAACUAUAGAAGAGAGGAUACAGGUGGUGACAGGGAAAGUAUCCCAGGACCGUCUGGAUAGAAGGAGAAAAAGAUCACAAGAUAUAUCUGACUGGUUGGAAGACUCGGAAAAUUUAAAGAUCCAGACAUCCAGCUCACCUGAGGAGAUAGAUCCAAGAGUAUCAAAUGAACAAAAGCUUCAACGUUUGGUUUGCUUGUUCAUUUGUACUGUUUUACCUCUGAUGGUAUUGACUUCAACACUUCUCAGGUUUGAAAUAAAUAUUAUUUGCAACUAUUGUCGAUACAUCAAGAAGAGAGAGACCAGUCACCUUUGUUAAACUCUCACAAGGGCUAAUCAAGUCCUGAACAUAUGUCAACACUGAUAUCUUGUCAAACCCAUGCUCUUAAAUUUAUUUUAAGUUAAUCAGUUAAUAAUAAGUGCAUUCCUUGAAUUUAAAUGUUUUCUUCCAAAAAAAUAAUGUUACUCAGGUUAUUAGACAUUUAAUCGAAGUUUUUAUCUUUAAGCGAUACCAUGUUCAGACAGACAUUUAAAUCUGUGGCGUAAAAGCUUUAGAUUUUUUUUAAAUCGUGUUUGCUUCCAUUAUACUUUGUAACUUGUUUUACUUAUUUUAAUUUUAAUAUACAUUAACAUAAAAGAUCGCCUUUUCAAAUUAGUGCAAUUUUCUCGUUGUCUAAAUUUUCCAAUACGAAAGAGACAAUUCAUAAUUUUGUUAUUAAAAGAAUAAAAAUAAUGAGUAGGUUCAUAAUGCUAACAUGUGACAUUGUGCAAUUUACAUACAUGGUUGAUUAAUCUUACAAACUACUUAGAUUGUGGUAUACUGGAGCUUUUCAAACCACUGCAGUAGGCUCAGAGCAAGCAGGGAAUUUCAAUGCAACUUAAAAAUUCGGAAUUUUCAAGAAAUAACUU